rnacentral:rRNA from 1 species
UGAAGAAGGCCUUCGGGUUGUAAAGCUCUUUUGUCCGGGAAGAAACGGUGUUUCCAAUAAAGAAUACUAAUGACGGUACCGGAAGAAUAAGCACCGGCUAACUACGUGC